rnacentral:rRNA from 1 species
UACGUAGGCAGCGAGCGUUGUUCGGAGUUACUGGGCGUAAAGAGUGCGUAGGCGGUUUUCUAAGUUUGGUGUGAAAUCUCCCGGCUUAACUGGGAGGGUGCGCCGAAAACUGGAAGGCUUGAGUAUGGGAGAGGUAAGCGGAAUUCCUGGUGUAGCGGUGAAAUGCGUAGAUAUCAAGAGGAACACCUGCGGCGAAGGCGGGUUGCUGGGCUGACACUGACGCUGAGGCGCGAAAGCUAGGGGAGCGAACGGG